rnacentral:rRNA from 1 species
CCUACGGGUGGCAGCAGUGGGGAAUAUUGGACAAUGGGGGCAACCCUGAUCCAGCCAUGCCGCGUGUGUGAAGAAGGCCCUCGGGUUGUAAAGCACUUUCAGUGAGGAAGAACGCCUGGUGGUUAAUACCCAUCAGGAAAGACAUCACUCACAGAAGAAGCUCCGGCUAACUCCGUGCCAGCAGCCGCGGUAAUACGGAGGGUGCGAGCGUUAAUCGGAAUUACUGGGCGUAAAGCGCGCGUAGGUGGCUUGAUAAGCCGGUUGUGAAAGCCCCGGGCUCAACCUGGGAACGGCAUCCGGAACUGUCAAGCUAGAGUGCAGGAGAGGAAGGUAGAAUUCCCGGUGUAGCGGUGAAAUGCGUAGAGAUCGGGAGGAAUACCAGUGGCGAAGGCGGCCUUCUGGACUGACACUGACACUGAGGUGCGAAAGCGUGGGUAGCAAACAGGAUUAGAUACCCGAGUAGUC